GACGAACGCUGGCGGCGUGCUUAACACAUGCAAGUCGAACGGAAAGGCCCUGCUUUUGUGGGGUGCUCGAGUGGCGAACGGGUGAGUAACACGUGAGUAACCUGCCCUUGACUUUGGGAUAACUUCAGGAAACUGGGGCUAAUACCGGAUAGGAGCUCCUGCUGCAUGGUGGGGGUUGGAAAGUUUCGGCGGUUGGGGAUGGACUCGCGGCUUAUCAGCUUGUUGGUGGGGUAGUGGCUUACCAAGGCUUUGACGGGUAGCCGGCCUGAGAGGGUGACCGGCCACAGUGGGACUGAGAUACGGCCCAGACUGCUACGGGAGGCAGCAGUGGGAAAUAUUGCACAAUGGGCGGAAGCCUGGUGCAGCAACGCCGCGUGCGGGAUGACCGCCUACGGGUUGUAAACCGCUUUCGCCUGGGACGAAGCGUGAGUGACGGUAAUGGGUAAAGAAGCACCGGCUAACUACGUG
rnacentral:rRNA from 1 species